rnacentral:rRNA from 1 species
UACAGAGGUCCCGAGCGUUGUUCGGAUUCAUUGGGCGUAAAGGGUGCGUAGGUGGCGCUGUAAGUGGGGUGUGAAAUCCCGGGGCUUAACCCCGGGACUGCAUUCCAUACUGCGGUGCUUGAGGACCGGAGAGGAGACUGGAAUUUACGGUGUAGCAGUGAAAUGCGUAGAGAUCGUAAGGAAGACCAGUGGCGAAGGCGGGUCUCUGGACAGUUCCUGACACUGAGGCACGAAGGCCAGGGGAGCAAACGGG